rnacentral:rRNA from 1 species
GACAGUAGCGGGGGAAUCAGCCUCGGCUAACUACGUGCCAGCAGCCGCGGUAAUACGUAGGAGGCGAGCGUUGUCCGGAAUUACUGGGUGUAAAGCGCGUGUAGGUGGCACGCCAAGUCGGUCGUGAAAUCCUUCGGCUCAACCGGAGGGGGUCGGUCGAAACUGGCGAGCUGGAGGGCGGUAGAGGCGAGUGGAAUUCCCGGUGUAGUGGUGAAAUGCGUAGAGAUCGGGAGGAACACCUGUGGCGAAGGCGGCUCGCUGGGCCGGCCCUGACACUGAGACGCGAAGGCGUGGGGAGCGAACGGGAUUAGAUACCCCGGUAGUCCACGCAGUAAACGAUGCCGACUAGGUGUCGGGGGUAUCGAGCCCCUCGGUGCCGUAGCUAACGCAGUAAGUCGGCCACCUGGGGAGUACGGCCGCAAGGUUAAAACUCAAAGGAAUUGACGGGUCCCCGCACAAGCAGCGGAGCGUGCGGUUUAAUUCGAUGCAACGCGAAGAACCUUACCCAGAUUUGACAUGGCGUGGCAAGCCGGGGAAACUCGGCCCUCGCAAGACCGCGUCACAGAUGUUGCAUGGCUGUCGUCAGCUCGUGUCGUGAGAUGUUGGGUUAAGUCCCGCAACGAGCGCAACCCUCGUGCGAUGUUGUCGAUCAUCGCAGACUGCCGGACAAAACCGGAGGAAGGUGGGGAUGACGUCAAGUCCGCAUGGCUCUUACAUCUGGGGCUACACGCACGCUACAAUGGUCGGGACAGCGCGCAGCGCGGGGGCAACCCCAAGCGAAUCGUGAAAGCCGGCCUCAGUGCAGAUGGUGGGCUGCAACUCGCCCGCCUGAAGACGGAGUUGCUAGUAACCGCGUGACAGCAUAGCGCGGUGAAUAUGUUCCCGGGGAUUGUACACACCGCCCGUCACGUCAUGGGAGCCGCCAACACCUGAAGUCCGUGGGCCAACCAGCGCAAGUUGGAGGCAGCGGCCGAGGGUGGGGGGGGUGACUGGGACGAAGUCGUAACAAGGUAGCCGUA